GCGGCGUGCCUAAUACAUGCAAGUCGAGCGAACUGAUUAGAAGCUUGCUUCUAUGACGUUAGCGGCGGACGGGUGAGUAACACGUGGGCAACCUGCCUGUAAGACUGGGAUAACUUCGGGAAACCGAAGCUAAUACCGGAUAGGAUCUUCUCCUUCAUGGGAGAUGAUUGAAAGAUGGUUUCGGCUAUCACUUACAGAUGGGCCCGCGGUGCAUUAGCUAGUUGGUGAGGUAACGGCUCACCAAGGCAACGAUGCAUAGCCGACCUGAGAGGGUGAUCGGCCACACUGGGACUGAGACACGGCCCAGACUCCUACGGGAGGCAGCAGUAGGGAAUCUUCCGCAAUGGACAAAAGUCUGACGGAGCAACGCCGCGUGAGUGAUGAAGGCUUUCGGGUCGUAAAACUCUGUUGUUAGGGAAGAACAAGUACGAAAAUAACUGCUCUUACCUUGACGGUACCUAACCAGAAAGCCACGGCU
rnacentral:rRNA from 1 species